rnacentral:tmRNA from 1 species
GGGGACGCGUGGCUUCGACAGGGGAAGCCUCCGCGGGACUGCAGGUCGAGGCGCCAUCUACCCUCGCUAAACCGGUGGCAACCACAAUAACAGGCAAGCAAGAGCUAGCCCUAGCCGCCUAACCGCGGCUACGUUCACCCGUUUCGCUCCUCGACGGGGCGGGAUGAGCGACGACACUCGAGGUGCUGUCCGACGGACGCCGAUAAGAAGGACAAAAGACUCAUCGGCUGGCCACCGACAUGACCGACGCCGGUUAGGGCGGUCGGAGGCGAGAUACAAGUACCGGCUACACCUGUAGACGUUCUAGUCCGGAGUUUCUUCUGGACGGGGAGUUCGACCCUCCCCCGUCUCCACCA